rnacentral:rRNA from 1 species
CUCAGAAUCAACGCUGGCGGCGUGCCUAACACAUGCAAGUCGAACGAGAAAGUCCCGCGCAAGCGGGAUGAGUAAAGUGGCGAACGGGUGAGUAACACGUAGCUAACCUACCCUCGAGUGGGGGAUAACCUGGGGAAACCUGGGCUAAUACCGCAUAACAUCCCGAUGACGCAGGUCAUUGGGAUCAAAGGCGCAAGGGUCACUGGAGGAGGGAGCUGCGGCCGAUUAGCUAGUUGGUGAGGUAACGGCUCACCAAGGCGAUGAUCGGUAGCCGGCCUGAGAGGGCGCACGGCCACACUGGCACUGAAACACGGGCCAGACUCCUACGGGAGGCAGCAGUGGGGAAUUUUGCGCAAUGGGGGAAACCCUGACGCAGCAACGCCGCGUGGAGGAUGAAGACCUUCGGGGUGUAAACUCCUUUCGAUCGGGACGAUUAUGACGGUACCGGAAGAAGAAGCACCGGCUAACUCUGUGCCAGCAGCCGCGGUAAUACAGAGGGUGCAAGCGUUGUUCGGAAUUAUUGGGCGUAAAGGGUGCGUAGGCGGUGCGGUAAGUCUGUUGUGAAAUCUCCGGGCUCAACUCGGAGCCUGCAACGGAAACUGCCGUGCUUGAGUAUGGGAGAGGUGAGUGGAAUUCCCGGUGUAGCGGUGAAAUGCGUAGAUAUCGGGACGAACACCUGUGGCGAAAGCGGCUCACUGGUCCAUAACUGACGCUGAUGCACGAAAGCUAGGGGAGCAAAUAGGAUUAGAUACCCUGGUAGUCCUAGCCCUAAACGAUGAUCGCUUGGUGUGACAGGUACCCAAUCCUGUCGUGCCGGAGCUAACGCGUUAAGCGAUCCGCCUGGGGAGUACGGUCGCAAGGCUGAA